CCAAAGGCUCUUUUCAGAGCCGCUCAACCUUUCACAUAAAGAGCUUU
rfam:Felis catus isolate Cinnamon breed Abyssinian chromosome B2, whole genome shotgun sequence.